UACGUAGGGGGCAAGCGUUGUCCGGAAUCAUUGGGCGUAAAGAGCGCGUAGGCGGUCCGAUAAGUCGGUUGUGAAAACUGGGGGCUCAACCCUCGGAUGCCGGUGGAUACUGUCGGGCUUGAGUACGGAAGAGGCGAGUGGAAUUCCUGGUGUAGCGGUGAAAUGCGCAGAUAUCAGGAGGAACACCAAUUGCGAAGGCAGCUCGCUGGGACGUUACUGACGCUGAGACGCGAAAGCGUGGGGAGCAAACAGG
rnacentral:rRNA from 1 species